UUAGAUUCACGCACAAACUCG
rnacentral:miRNA from 21 species